rnacentral:rRNA from 1 species
ACGUAAUAGAUACCCGGGUAGUCCACGCCGUAAACGAUGAUAACUAGCUGUCCGGGCACUUGGUGCUUGGGUGGCGCAGCUAAACGCAUUAAGUUAUCCGCCUGGGGAGUACGGCCACAAGGUUAAAACUCAAAGGAAUUGACGGGGGCCUGCACAAGCGGUGGAGCAUGUGGUUUAAAUUCGAAGCAACGCGCAGAACCUUACCAGCGUUUGACAUGGUAGGACGGUUUCCAGAGACGGAUGCCUUCCCUUCGGGGACCUACACACAGGUGCUGCAUGGCUGUCGUCAGCUCGUGUCGUGAGAUGUUGGGUUAAGUCCCGCAACGAGCGCAACCCUCGUCCUUAGUUGCCAUCAUUUAGUUGGGCACUCUAAGGAAACCGCCGGUGAUAAGCCGGAGGAAGGUGGGGAUGACGUCAAGUCCUCAUGGCCCUUACGCGCUGGGCUACACGCGUGCUACAAUGGCGGUGACAAUGGGCAGCAAUCCCGCGAGGGUGAGCUAAUCUCC